rnacentral:tRNA from 1 species
GGGGGCGUGGUAAAGUCUGGAGUUUACGCCUGCCUGUCACGCAGGAGGUCGCGGGUUCGAAUCCCGUCGUCCCCGCAA